UAUAACGUAUUUUAUAUCUACAAAAUAUGUUGGGUAAAACAUGGGUAGAUGAAUGAUGAGGAAUAAAAGCUGAAAUAGAGGAACAUUAGUAGUAUGGACCUAGUGGCCUAUAGGUAAACAUUGGCAGCAAUGGACCUAGUACCUUAUAGAUGAGCACUGGCAGCUGCGCCACAACCCGUAGAUGCUUUAGAUCUACGGUAAACGUCCAAGCAGCUGCGUUCUAAGGACAGUAUCGACAGCUGCGCCUAAUAGGGAGCCUUAUGACCAUGACAGUAGCGUUUAAAGGUCAAUACCAGCAUAAGCGCCUCAUAGAAAAUUUCCCAAUUCUGGCAGCUGCGCCUAAGUGAUAAUAUUAGCAGCUGCGCUUGACCACUGUGUCAUUGGAAACAAUGGACUUCAUGUUGUUUCCUUAGGAUAAUCCUUAGGAAUGAAUGAAUGAGAAAUAGCUAAUUCUUAGGGUAGACCCUUAAGAGUAAAGAAGAUAACGGGGAUAGGUAAUUGGGUUAACUGUUUGAUGAUUAAACAUAAUAAUUAUAUUAUUGUGGGUUGAAAACCCUAUGUACUCACCAGGUUUCCCAACAUGACCCACUCGGUUUAUUUAUAUCACAGGUGUUGAUAUGAAGUCACAUUACCCUGAGAGAUUAAGGAUAUAUAAAUCACUAAUGAUAAUGAAUGUAAGUUCUGUUUAUGCUUAUGUUUCUGUAUUGACGAUGACAUCCCAAAUGUUUUAAAAUGGUUAAAAAUACUUUUCUUCGGAAAUGCCUUGAUAACGCAUUUAUUGUGUUUUACUGGGAACAAAUUCCGCAACACUUUUAUGAAAAAUAUUACUCUGAUUUUCAAACAAGCAUAAACAAAAUCGGUCUUUUCUGGCCGUGAAAAUGGGGAUGUCACAGUUGGUAUCAGAGCAUUAGUUUAAGCGAAUUAGGAAUAUAGAUUUAUUUCUAGACUUAAACUUAGAAUGCUAAGCGAUGAUUGUGAGGUGUGAGCACUAUAUUAUUUUAGGGACUGUGCCUAAAAUGCUUUUAUGUGCUAAAUGCUUGUGCCUGAUAUGCUGUUAUUUGUUCGGAUCUAUGGUCUGUUGCCGACCGGAUCUGGAAACCUUAUGUGUUUAGGAUUCUAAGCGUUUAACUACGAUAUUAGAACUAGCAUAUAAACGUUUCGUGGUGAUAAGGAUGAUUUAAACGUCAAUCCUAAAUAAAGAUCUAGAUUCACCUUAUUCGAUGUAUAGAUCAAGAUGGCAAGGACCUGUAGCGGAAACGUGAAUGCAAAUAGGAAUCGAGAUCAGACCCCAGUGAUUGAGCAAAUACCGGUUGUGGUAGCCGCUGCUGAGCCAAUAACGAUGGUCAAAUGGCGGAAACGUGAAUGCAAAUAGGAAUCGAGAUCAGACCCCAGUGAUUGAGCAAAUACCGGUUGUGGACGGAGUGCAAGCAAUGAUCCAGGCGAUGUUGGAUCGUCAAAUGGGGGAAACCAAACGUUUGCUCCAACUAAAUCAAGAGGAAGCGACCAUAUAGAUCAAACAGACCGAGUUGAACGAAGGGCAGAUUGAGGGGGGGGGGGGGNGUUGGUCAAGUCAACCCACCAAUAGUUCGACAAAACAACCAAGAUGACGGAGUCGAGAGGAAUGGAUGCAAGUACAAGGAUUUUCUGACUUGCAAGCCAUCGACUUUCACUGGAAAGGAAGAUCUGAUCGGGCUCAUGGAUUGGAUCUCGGAGAUGGAGUUAGCUUUCAUGACGUGUGGUUGCAGAGGCAAACUACAAACCACGUUUGUGGUACGCCAGUUCAGAGGAGGCGCGGUUCGUUGGUGGAACACUUUGGGGAAGAUUCUAAGCCCCCAAUGAGCCCCUGCAACUGACGUGGGCAGAGUUUUUGGUGCAGUUCAAACGUAAAUACUGCUCAGCCCAAAAUCUGCUCGAGCUAGAAAACCAAUUCCUUACCUUGAAGAAAGGAAGCAUGUCUAUUGAUGAAUACACCAACAACUACACAGAGAAGAUGGAGUUCUCCUUACGUCUUGUUCCAGAUGAGCUGACGAAAAUCGACAAGUAUGCAAGAGGACUUCCAUGGGAAUAUGCAGUGCUAAUACGUCAGGCACCUACUUUGGAGGCAACUAUUUGGGCUGCCAAGUCGGUUGAGGAGAUGAUCAAGGGAAGAGCCGCCAAUAAGACCGAGGUUGGCGAAAAGAGGAAGUUUGAGGGGUUCGCGAAGCCCGAUGAGAGAAGCAAGUCCAGUACAAGGAAGUUUAGAGGAGGAGGGAGUGAAGAAAGAUGGUACGAGAAGUGCAAAAAGAAACACUCUGGAAAAUGCGGUGAGGAGGUGACUUGUUUCAAGUGUGGGAAGCAUGAGCACUAUGCCAACGAGUGUACAUUAACCAAAAGGGUGUGUUACGGAUGUAACGAGGAAGGGCACUUCAAGCAAGACUGCCCAAAGAGAGAAGGGGCUACAAAGCCAAAUGUGCCACCAAAGCCGAAGGCAAGAGCAUUCCAUAUGAUCCUAGACGAAGCAGCAGACGACGCAAGGAUUCAGGAGUGAAGGCUUGACACCCAAAGAUCGAGUUAUGAAGUGGUCGUGUAUAUAGUACCACGUGAUGUAGCCUGUUAGAGGCAUAGUCUAGGGUGAACUUGAAUACCUAUGUAAUCAUUUCAAGGAAUAAUAUAAAACCUUCGUUUCGAUAUUUGAUGUGUUAAGUUGUUAUGUGAUUUUCUUGUAUGGUGACUUGGAAAAACUAUGGGACAAUACUUGGGACGAGUAUGAGUAGGUGUGAAUGCUAGUAGAGGCCUAUACUACCAGAAGCACAGGACUCACACUUGAAUCAGGGAAAGUCACAAGGUUACCAAGGAGAUAGUAAUUGAUUUCGUUUUACUCAAGUAUGUCGUUACCAUUUUUUCGAUAAUGACUAAGAAAAUUGUUGUUAUCUGGACCCUAGUGGUCAUAUCACAUUAAAUCCGACUACGAUGAGUAGGUUACGUGGUUAAGAGAACCAAUUUUGAUGUAGCGUACGACUUAAACCAAACAAUUGAAAUCAAAUCGAUCAAUAGAAGUAUCACGCUCGUUGUUAAAGAAGAUGGUAGCUAGAAAUGCUACAUGUUAAAGUGUGAUUAUAUCACAUUAGAACAUGAAGGAAGGCAUAGUCUGUUUUAGAAUUUAACUCUAAGAGACCUGAGUCUAAAGGUGCAUCACAUGAUGAUAGGUCAUAAUUUGGAGUCUAACCAGAGGUAGAGAGCAGGUGCACGAUCGAGUACUGCUUACAGUCAAUAAGUCUUAGAGAUAGACUUGAAGGAAUAUAGAAGUUAUCAUUAUUACCUAGGAUGAAGAUAUGAUGUAUGGAGUCAUUAUACGAGCCCUGUUUCGUCGAUGAUUCCGUGACGUAAUCAUCGUAAGGGGGAGAUAAUUGUAACGCCCGUAGAUCCGGGCUAGUCAAUUUAGAGGCGAUAGGGGUCAAAAACGAAUUUUCGACAAAAUAUUAUUUGGAAUAAAUAAUCUUAGCCAAGUUUUAGAAUAUGUCACAAGGUUUUCAUACAUAUAAAGAACGCUGAAAUCCGAGUUAUAACGAAGAAGUUAUGACCCGUCAAAGUUUCGUGACGGAACCGGCACGGCACCGGGAAGCGUAAAUAGUGAAUUUAUGAUAGAGCGAGAUUUAGCCUUAGCAAUCUAAACGAAAGUCGUAGAAUACGUUAAACCGAGAGCAUCCAUAAAAAGAACGCCCAAAUCUGACUUCGUAUGAGGAAGUUAUGAUUUUUCGAAGUCUCGACUUAACAUUGGACAACCCGAAAUUCGAAUAUUAGAUCGAGCAGUGUUUAGCCGACAUAACCUAAAAGAGAAUCGAAGAUCUCAAUAAUAGCAGCGUAACGAUAAAAAGACAGACGGAAACGGACGUCGGAUAAAGAAGUUAUGAAUUUUUAACGGACCAAACGUGUACCGGCUUGUUAAACAAUAUAACUAUUAAAAUAAAGUCAAAAUUAGCAGACGAAGUCUAAACGAAAGUUGUAGAGUACGUUCCGGCCUUCGCAUGGAUAUAAAGAACGUCAAAACGGAGCUCUUACACGAAAGUUACGAAUUUUUAAAGUUGAGUGUGCAAAUUGCGAAAUCUGAUGCAAGAUGGAUGACGUGGCCUCAUCGCAGCCGUCCAUCGACGAUCGCAGAGCACCCUUCGGAUCACGCCACGUAACCUCGCCUUCGCUUUACACUCCGCGUCCGAGGUGAGUACGCCCCGCAUACCCUCGUGUCUUAUCCAUCCGACGAAGGUGAGAGCCAGGUGUGCGAAGCUGGCAAUCCUAUCCGAGACUACGCCGAGCGUACUUCCGAGGGUUCAGCCCUAUAAAAGGGUGCUAGGAUGGUCGGGUUUUACGCACCAAAUCCCACUCUCUCUAAGAACUUUCUCUCUCUAGCCCCUUUUGAGUCCCCUAAAGUCUAGGUGAAGCCCUAGCACCCGAGGAAAGCCCCGAGGCUCCCGGAGUCCCGAGAAAAAGGGUCUUUCGAUUUCCGAAACGCUGCUACGAGCAAAGCCCGGUUUUUUUUUAAAAUCCGUUGUAAGUGAGCUACGCUUACGCAAUUUUUAAUAUAGCUUUCAAAAAAUUAUAGUAAUGUUAUCAGGACCUUAAAAUAAUUAUUUGGGCUAUUAUUAUGAGUUAUAUUAAGUGUUAUUUAACGCUUAUAUAAUAGUAAUAAUAGUAAGACUAUUAAUUUGUCGCGGUUAUCUUUACACUAAACCCUAGUGGUGUUGAUACUAGGUUUUGUUGAGAGAAAUUGUUUUGAGAUAACGAAGUCAUGUCCGAGUGCUGAGUCACCACCUUAUCAGGUGAGUGCAUAGUCCCUUUCAUCUUACAUAUAGAUAUGAAGUAUUUUAAUAUAAAUUACGUGCCAUGAGUGCAUAUUGUCUGAAUACUUGUUGUCUAUGCUGGUGAAAGAUUUUUAUACAUGUUUUAAAUGAUGUAAACUGUAUAACGUAUUUUAUAUCUACAAAAUAUGUUGGGUAAAACAUGGGUAGAUGAAUGAUGAGGAAUAAAAGCUGAAAUAGAGGAACAUUAGUAGUAUGGACCUAGUGGCCUAUAGGUAAACAUUGGCAGCAAUGGACCUAGUACCUUAUAGAUGAGCACUGGCAGCUGCGCCACAACCCGUAGAUGCUUUAGAUCUACGGUAAACGUCCAAGCAGCUGCGUUCUAAGGACAGUAUCGACAGCUGCGCCUAAUAGGGAGCCUUAUGACCAUG
rnacentral:lncRNA from 1 species